rnacentral:rRNA from 1 species
AGAGUUUGAUCCUGGCUCAGAGCGAACGCUGGCGGCGUGCUUAACACAUGCAAGUCGAGUGCGCGCCUGUAGCAAUACAGGUGGCGCACGGCGCACGGGUGCGUAACACGUGGGUAAUCUGCCCUUCGAUGGGGAAUAACCUCGCGAAAGCGAGGCUAAUUCCGCAUAACAUUCCGAUGAUCUUGGUCAAUGGAUUCAAAGCCGUAAGGCGUCGGAGGAGGAGCCCGCGCACGAUUAGCUAGUUGGUGAGGUAACGGCUCACCAAGGCUAUGAUCGUUAGCUGGUCUGAGAGGAUGGCCAGCCACACUGGAACUGAGACACGGUCCAGACUCCUACGGGAGGCAGCAGUGGGGAAUCUUGCACAAUGGGCGAAAGCCUGAUGCAGCGACGCCGCGUGGGGGAUGAAGCUUUUCGGAGUGUAAACCCCUUCCGACCCGGACGAAUGCCCCGCAAGGGGACUGACGGUACGGGUAUAAGAAGCCCCGGCUAACUACGUGCCAGCAGCCGCGGUAAGACGUAGGGGGCCAGCGUUGCUCGGAAUUACUGGGUGUAAAGGGUUCGUAGGCGGUGCGGCAAGUUGGGAGUGAAAUCUCUGGGCUCAACCCAGAGGCUGCUUCCAAAACUGCUGUGCUGGAGUGUGGGAGAGGCGCGUGGAAUUGCAGGUGUAGCGGUGAAUGCGUAGAUAUCUGCAGGAACACCCGUGGCGAAAGCGGCGCGCUGGACCACAACUGACGCUGAGGAACGAAAGCUAGGGGAGCAAACAGGAUUAGAUACCCUGGUAGUCC